GUGCAAGCGUUAUCCGGAUUUACUGGGUUUAAAGGGUGCGUAGGUGGUUAAUUAAGUCAGUGGUGAAAUCUUCAGGCUUAACCUGGAAACUGCCAUUGAUACUAUUUAUCUUGAAUACUUUGGAGGUAAGCGGAAUAUGUCAUGUAGCGGUGAAAUGCUUAGAUAUGACAUAGAACACCAAUUGCGAAGGCAGCUUACUACACAGUAAUUGACACUGAGGCACGAAAGCGUGGGGAUCAAACAGG
rnacentral:rRNA from 1 species